CCUGCAGCUGCUACGUACCAGGGGCUGUUCCUUCCUCACCUCUUUUCAGUUUUUUUUUUCUUCUCUUUAUCUCUCUAAACCUAGGCGAAGCUAGUGUGGAGAAGUUGGCAAAUUUGAUAUUUUGGGGCUGUGAGGUGUGUCCGAGCAGGGAAAUCAGCAGAGGAGAGGUGGAAUCUGAGAACAGUUAGCAACUAUACAAAGGAAAGAGAGUUUGAUGGAAUUGGGGUUUUCUUUGCUGUUGGAGCUGAGGGAAGGAGCCCUUGAGCAGGGAUUAAUUGUUGGAGAAUCCAACUGAAGUCAGACGUGCUCGGAAGUUCGAAUUGAUAUUCCGACGAACCUACGAUGCGUUAAUUAAGAAACGCUUCGUUCUAGCCCUAUUCGCAUCGAGUCGCGUGGACUAAUGUUUAUAUAGUUCGUGACGUUGGUUCUAGUCUUCGACAUCCCUACAGGUUCUAGUUCGUGCGGGGUGAUCGAGAAUCGUGACAGGGACAGCGCGCUACAGAUAGCGACAUCCAUUGAGUAUAGUUUUACCUUGUAGAUUUCAUCUGUUUAUAGUUGAUGAAAGGAAAUGUAAAUUGUUUAAUUGAGAAAGGGCAAUGUAUAAAGGUAAAAGAAUGUGUGUAAUAAUUAGUAAGCCUUGUAUUUAAUUUAAAGUAAUUAAGAUACAUUGUAUGAAAUAUUUAGUUAGUUUACUUUCACUUGUGCUUGUGUUGCUUGCCUCGUGCAAGUCAUGUA